UGUGAGUGGGACAGGAUUGUGAUUAUUUGUUUGCGAUGUAAAGCAAAGGUAGAAACCACUGGGUGUGGUAUAAUUUGGUGCUUCCGUGAAAUUGUAGUAGAUUAUACUAUAGGAAUGUUUUAUUAGGAUGUGAGGAGAGUACUUAAAUAAUGUGAUGUAAGCAGAGAGAAACAAACCACUGCUUGUGGAAUGACGAGUGUUAUUAUUAUUGGCAACAACUGAGCACAAAUUGUAGUAUUAUGUUUAAAGACAUGUCGUUUGUCAUAUGUUGUAUCCAUUGCUGAAUAUGCCAGUGUUAUGAUCGUCUGAGCAUAGAAUAUUGCGUAAGGCAAUUACUUUCAUUUAAUUUUAAAUAAAUGUAUAUUUUCUUUUUCCCUUGUUUAUCCCCGAACACCAGUCUCCAAUAACAACUUAAGCCGGAUCACGCUACCAGGGAUACGAGACGUCUGAGUCAGCGUGAGGAAUCGCCUGAUGACCGAUGGCACCAAGCACGAGGCCACGCGCCCCGCCUCCAGCCUCCUGUAGCUGGCUCUCCUCCUGCUCCGUGUCUACCAAGCAUGGCGGUCACCCCCACCAAAGUCCCCCAGCUGUUGCCACCCACAACAGCCAGAGCUUCGCCCACACACGGUGGUGCCACACAGAGCUUGUGUUGCAACAUGUGCAUUUCUUUCAUUUCUGCUUUAAAAAUUUGAUCAUAUUUUGAUAAAAAAUGUUCAGAAAAAUUCAUUGAAUAAAGGUUACACUUCCUAA